rnacentral:rRNA from 1 species
UACGUAGGGUGCGAGCGUUGUCCGGAUUUAUUGGGCGUAAAGAGCUCGUAGGCGGUUUGUCGCGUCGGCCGUGAAAUCUCCACGCUUAACGUGGAGCGUGCGGUCGAUACGGGCAGACUUGAGUUCGGUAGGGGAGACUGGAAUUCCUGGUGUAGCGGUGAAAUGCGCAGAUAUCAGGAGGAACAGCCGGUGGCGAAGGCGGGUCUCUGGGCCGAUACUGACGCUGAGGAGCGAAAGCGUGGGGAGCGAACAGG